AUUGUAUUUAUCUCUAGAAAGUACGGUUCAACUUAGCUUUGAGAAAUUGUUUAAUUUGGUCUUUUGAGUUUCUUUGUUCCAUAGGACCCUGUUCCAUAAAAGUUCAAAUACCAGAUUUGGUGGAUCUAAAUAGAUAAAAAGGGUAAUUUACCCAGCUCUUAUGAUAAAAGUCUUGGUCUAACAGAAACUCAUCACCAUUCUAAAAUAUAUUGUAUGGAAAAGGUGGAGCAAAUCAAGGUGAAGAAAGAAGGGAGGAUUUGAGUAUCAGAUAAUGUUGGUGGUGCUUUGUCCACCAACCAUUCCUGGCCUUUGUGGACUCAUUAUUUUUAGAGUACAUUUCUGUUUGGAUGGUUUAUUGAGGGGGGGCACUACUGGCCAACAAGAGGUAGAAAAUUAAGGACCCAAAAGCCUGAAUAAUUGGCCGUUUCUACUUUUUAUUUGUUUGGCAUUUGCGUGAUUCUCUCUUCCUUUUAUGGCACAUGAAUUCGGCAAUAUCCUGAACCCUCACCCCUCCUCACUUUUCGUCUUCUCGCAUCUAAUAUAGGUGAUUUGUUGUGAUCUCUUGACCCACGUACACACAAAACAAAACCGAGAACAUGGUCUAUAUUCCCUUCUAGUUUACUCACUUUGAUAUUUUGUUUGGAUUUGAUUCUUACUUUUGAAUUUUGUGUUCCAGUCUUUCAGUUUGAAAUUUUUUGUAUUCAUCCUUGAACUUUGCAUCAAAAUUAUAUUUUAAUUAUUUAAAGUUAUUUAAAGCCUUGGAUUUGUUAUUAUAGUUAGUGCUUGGGGUGCAAGCUAUUUUAGUUUGGAUUAUAAAUGAUGGGUAAAAAAUAGUUUACACUUUUAAAGUUAGAAGUGAGUCAUAAUAACGACUAUUAGAAUAGAAAAUUCAAACAUUUGAGUAGGAUACAAGUAUACAAGCUUUUGUAUACAAGUAUACAAGUAUACAAGUAUACAAGUAUACAAGUAUACAAUUAACAGCAGACACACAGUAAUGACAUAGGCGAUAAAAGCUUUUGUCCAAGCUUUCCCUAAAAAUGGAGAAAAGGAAAAAUUCUACACUUUUGGCUGAAGAUUUGAUAACAUGUUCUACUCAAUAAAAAUAACAUCUUAUUUUUUAUUUAAUAUUUUUGGUUCAUUUUCUAUAAAAUGUUUUGAGGUGAUUAUUUUAGUCCUUUUGUUUUAUUUUUAAGAGAUGGAAAUACAUUUUAAUUAAAGUUAGGAGGACUAAAAUAAAUAAAAACUAAAGUAGGAGGACCGAAAUAUAUACAGUAGCAGCUUCAAUUUGCUGUUCAUUUCCCUUUUCUCCCUUCAACAACUGUCUCUAAUAAAUCCUAACCUUUUUCUUUCUUUCUUUCUUUCUUUCUUUCUUUCUUUCUUUCUUUCUUCUGUCGUUAAGUCAACAAAGCUAGAUAUUGAUUGUGAUGUAUUACAAUUACUACAGUUUACAACAUGUACGAUUCUAGAAUUAUCCUCCAAAGGUUUACAACUUGAAUACACAUUUAGACAGUAGGAUAUAUAUAUAUGAGCCAUCGUUUUAGACUGUGUGUUUGGAAAUGAAUUUAUAAAAUGCUUGUUAUUAGAUUUUUGGUCCAAAUACGUAGGAUAUGCAUGGGAGUAAUAUUACCUAAAUCUACUUUUGAAUUGACCAAUAAAGGAAAUGUUGUUAAAAUUGAUUUUAGACAAAUAUAAAAUCAUAUAGAACUUAUUUUCAUCCAUUGGUUUGAUAAACGAGAUAAUUUUAGUGGGGUGAUUAUAAAUUAUUGUGAAAGAAACAAACUAUUCAUUCAUUAGUUUGGGUUAAUGUUUUGAUUAUUGUUAUUUGUUGUUGGCAAGUUAAAAUGUUCUUGCACUCUGAAGUUGAUUAAUAUCAGAAUUUGAAGUCAAGAUGGCUAUUAAAAUCUUUGCUUGCUUGCUCGUUCACAUUAGUUUCCAAUCUUCAUACUUUUACUAGGUCUUCAACGAAAAAGGUUGGUCUAUGAUACAGUGAAGGUUCAAGUGGAAUAACAAUAAUAAUUAAAAAAAAAACAUGCUUAGGACCAAAUUUAUGGAUUUGGAUAAAAGAAGGCAUCUUUUUCAUAGACUUUUUUGGGUUAAAAUUUGUCUAUUGGGUUAAAAUUUGUGUUGGAUCAAGUUAUAAAAGGACCUUGUCUUAACAGGAUUACCUAUAUAUCCUGACCAACCAUGAUUACCCAACCUAGUCAAGUAGUUUCUUAACAGGACUUUGCCUUGCCUUUUGCUUCCCAUGCAAAUGGGAUUACCUUGUCUCAAAAUAAUCAAAAUAUUUAUGUUGUGACGAUUAAUUAAUAAGAGUACUAUCUAUGGCUCGGGAGAGAUUGUUGUUGCUGAAGGAAGAUGGUCUUCUAAUGAUCCAACUGCUAUGGUCCAUCAUAUUCCUAUUGGUCCACAUGCAAUUAGAGUAUGGAUUGAUGUAGCAAAGAAACCAAACGCAUAUUUGUGGAGGCCAACAUCAGAAAUGACAUGUAUUGAAGAAGCUUUGGGAAGUACAGUUGCAUGGCCAUCUGAUAAAGUGAUCAUUAGUGAAUGAAAUGGAGUCGUCUUCACCAAAGGACUAAAGAUUGCACACUUAUGACGAACUUUGCUUGUAGACUUAUGAUGAACUUUAUUUGUAUUUUGAAGGUUAAUUUGUGCGGUUCAUACAUUAUUUACUAAUAUGUGUAUUUUGAUUGGUAAUGUGUAUGGUUGGUACAUUUAGAAUGACUACAUUGUUUGGUAAUUUUAGUACAUUAUGAAUGGUUUUAUAAA